AUGUUUGCGAGAACUCACAGAAGUGAUCUAGGAAAAAGGUGGAGGGUUGUAAACAACGAUGGCGGCCAUCAUGAAAUAAUGUUUAACGAAGAUGAGGAUCUACCACUUGUUGUAAGUGGCUGGAAGGAGCUGCAGGGAUUUGACGAACUACCAAAUGAUGUGUCUGUCGUUCUUGGCUAUUACGGUAACAACACCUUUGAUGUUGUCAGGAUUAAAGAGAAAACAUCAUUCAAGAAAUUACCAACUUUUCAUAGCAGGUUCUUCAACUAG